UACGGAGGGGGCUAGCGUUGUUCGGAAUUACUGGGCGUAAAGCGCGCGUAGGCGGACCUGCAAGUCGGGGGUGAAAGCCCGAGGCUCAACCUCGGAACUGCCUUCGAUACUGCGGGUCUCGAGUCCGGGAGAGGUGAGUGGAAUUCCUAGUGUAGAGGUGAAAUUCGUAGAUAUUAGGAAGAACACCAGUGGCGAAGGCGGCUCACUGGCCCGGUACUGACGCUGAGGCGCGAAAGCGUGGGGAG
rnacentral:rRNA from 1 species